rnacentral:lncRNA from 1 species
AUGAGCUAAGUUUUUCAAUGAAUGCACUUAAUUUUGCGCUAGGAGCCUUAUUUGGUAUCCAGAUUUAGCAACAUAUUCACUAUUAAAGGUUGACGUGAAACCACGUUGAAACAUGUAUAGUGAAAUUUACAACCGUUGAUCGGUUUAAAUAGAGAUCUUAAUUGUGUAUUAUGAAACAUUGUUCGUUUGUGAAUUUAACAUUUAGAAAUUCACUAUAUUGACAACAGUGCUUCUUCGUCAAUUACUAUUCUGUUGGAGUGACACACCCUCUCAUGGUGUAUAUCGAGUAUAAUGAAUAAACGACGAAUAAUUUCUUAUUAUAUUUAUAGUUAUUAUAAUCUACAAGAUCAUUUAAGUAAAUUAUAAGUGUGGGCAACAAAAGUAAAAGUAGUUAUGGUCCUGAGUUACACUAUCGUAGCCAUUAACUUCAAUGAGACGGAAAACCAGGUUAUUUAAAAUUUCAUCUCAUUCCUGAUUGCUUCACCACAUCUUUAUAAUCCCUGCCUGUGAAUUGUGAAUAUUUUAAAAGGUAUCGUCAUGCUCUCAUGCCUUCUUCAGGAUCUAUAGUUCAUCAUGUUUCCAAUGGAAAGAUCUACCCAUGCUAUUAUGGAAGUGAAUAGAUCUUCAAUAUCCUUUCACUAAAGAAUGUAAAGGUUGUUGUGAAUCUUGUUCUUGCCAGAAUGGAGGAAUCUUUUUCACAGAUACCGAAAGACACCUUCAUUAUGGCCAGUGUCAGAAUCACAAGCCAACAUAUGACAAUGGGAUUGAAAACAAAUUGUUUUGUCUUACUGUUAAUAAGAAAGAGAUACUAUUCAAAAGAAACUCAUUCCAUUUUUAUUGAGAGCUCUACUACUAAUAAAGCAAAUGAUCGAGUUUGUUAUAAACCCAAUGGAUUAUCUGAAGGGAUGGUAAAGCUGUGAAAAAUAUAUUGCAGUGUGGUCAGUGAUAAGCAAAGAUCAUAUCUCU